rnacentral:precursor_RNA from 12 species
UGGAAACAUUAGAAUUUAGUUGCCCCAGCUACACAUAUGCCAAGGUGACAUGCUACUCUACAUGUGACCUCAACAUAUGUGUUUCUGUGACAUGACUUUGAUCAAGUUUAAUGG